rnacentral:rRNA from 1 species
GAUGAACGCUGGCGGCGUGCUUAACACAUGCAAGUCGAACGGAAAGGCCCAAGCUUGCUUGGGUACUCGAGUGGCGAACGGGUGAGUAACACGUGGGUGAUCUGCCCUGCACUUCGGGAUAAGCCUGGGAAACUGGGUCUAAUACCGGAUAGGACCACAUUUUGGAUGGUGUGGUGGAAAGUUUUUCGGUGUGGGGUGAGCUCGCGGCCUAUCAGCUUGUUGGUGGGGUAAUGGCCUACCAAGGCGGCGACGGGUAGCCGGCCUGAGAGGGUGUACGGCCACAUUGGGGAUGAGAUACGGCCCAAACUCCUACGGGAGGCAGCAGUGGGGAAUAUUGCACAAGGGGCGCAAGCCUGAUGCAGCGACGCCGCGUGGGGGAUGACGGCCUUCGGGUUGUAAACUCCUUUCGCUAGGGACGAAGCGUUAUGUGACGGUACCUGGAGAAGAAGCACCGGCUAACUACGUG